GUGUGGUAAGACAAGAGAGAAUGUUAGCAACCCCCCGGAUAAGGAUGCAAGUGGUCCUAGUGGCCUUUUCAACACAAUGAUUUCAAGGCAGUCGUUUCGACAAAGCAGUUUGAAGGCAAUGGUUU
ensembl:snRNA